rnacentral:snRNA from 1 species
GUGUUUGCUUCAGUACCCCAGGUACUAUAAUUAGAAUAGUGCAGAAAAGAUGGACAUGACCUUUGAUCAAGAAUGACAUGCAAAUUUGCAAAGCAUUCUAUUCAUUA